rnacentral:rRNA from 1 species
UCGGAAUUACUGGGCGUAAAGGGUGCGUAGGCGGUUGUUUAAGUCUGUCGUGAAAUCCCCGGGCUCAACCUGGGAAUGGCGAUGGAUACUGGGCAGCUAGAGUGUGUCAGAGGAUGGUGGAAUUCCCGGUGUAGCGGUGAAAUGCGUAGAGAUCGGGAGGAACAUCAGUGGCGAAGGCGGCCAUCUGGGACAACACUGACGCUGAAGCACGAAAGCGUGGGGAGCAAACAGG